GGCACACUCACAAUGCUUUAUUUUACAUUAUCUGAAAGGCUUUUAACUCACAAUUCUCACAAUUUUACAAAACUUCGCUUCAGCCGUUACAUCUCUCAAAGUCAAAGCCUCUCUUCAGCCGUUACAUCUCUCACCCCAUCGCCGCCGCCCCUGAAUCCGGUCGGCGUCGUCUCCCUAUUCACAGUCUCUAUCUUCUCUCAAUCUUUUUCUCUCUCUGAAGUCGAUUCCCUAAGAUUUCUUCUUUCCUAAUCCCGUUGCCCUUCCUUCUUCUAGACUCCGGCGAAAUAGCCGCCACUUCGCCGCUGAGCUUGCGGUUCGUCCGGCCUCGAGUCACCGCUGAGCCCUGGAGUUCGUCCACCGCGCCGUCGACCACCACCGACAACUUCUCUGUUUUGAUACCUCCAUUUCCGGAUCCGCCGUGAUUCUUCCUACACAGCCAUGUAGGAAACGAAUUAUUGAUAUUGUAUUCAGAGUAGACUGAAAUUGAUGUUUGAUCACUCCUGGUAAUGGUUCAUGGUAUUUUUCCAUUGAUUCAGAUUAUUUUGGCUGAUUUGCUGCUCAUAUAGACUUGGAAUCUUAGGAUAUUUUGAGUGGUUGAUCAUUUGAUCGGUGUAUUUUUUAGAUUUAUUUGUUGAAUCUUGUAUUUUCAGAUACAAGUGCUGGGUGGAUCGGGGGUGUUAACCUGGAUAAUGGUGGCGCGAAUGACCCGAAGAACCUUAAAAGUCAAGGGAAGUGGCUUGGAAGCAGACAAAUUCGCUGCAAUUGGGCGGCAAAAGGUGCUGGUCAAGGCGAUGAGCAGCAGAAUCCUGAUUCAAAAAAUGUUGUGGAACUAACAAAUGGAGCAUCUGAUGAUGGCCAAGAAAAACGGAAGGAAGAUGCUCCAGAGAAUAAUCCACAGUAUACAACUGUUUAUGUGGGAAAUCUUGCUCCUGAAGUCACAUCAGUUGAUCUCCAUCGCCAUUUCCAUGCACUUGGCGUUGGAGUGAUUGAAGAUGUCAG